rnacentral:sRNA from 1 species
CCGAGCCCCCACGUCGAUGCUGUCACACACUCCACACCCCCACCCUGUGACCGGGGCAGGAGUGGGAACGCCCGGGGUUGCAAAACAAACCGCUUAGGUGUCCUGGCAACACGGGGCACAUGCGCCUCUCCAGUAUAAGACCCACCACGAACCACCUGCCGCUACUCAGGGCAAGACUGAGACGGGGCGGAGACGGUCAUCCCUACUGAUUCUAGUCAUCGGAAAAUGUAUGUAAAUGCAUCACGUGCAUGCAGUACCCCAGGUGGUCAGAAGAGGGCGUGCGAUCUCCCGCCAUUGGAGUUACAAAUGGUUGUAAUGCCUGAAUGCCGGUGGGUGCUGGAGGGGAAGCUUCGUUGUCAGGACACCUACGCGGUUUGUUUUCCAACCCCUGACUCUGGAAAAACCAGCAUCCUAGCUACUCGGGAGGCUGAGGCAAGAGGACGGACUGGCCAAGGUCGGCUUGGAUUACACAGUUCCGGAAAAGAUGCAUAUGAUCACCCAGAAAAGCGGGCGUCCUGCUGGACUGUCCCCACGUAUGAGGCCAGCGGUUCUGAGCACGGGAUGGAAAAGGACUGGGUCAAGGUCACCACCAGUUUAUGGAAAGAAUUGCGAGAAGGAUCCACAGCCCAGCGUGUCUGCUGUGUGGCGCACAGAACUUUGUAAAAGUAAACGCCAAUACUGUAAAUAAAUAUUUACAUCUUCCGAAGGAAAACAACAAGAUAGGCUGAACAGUAAAGGCUGAAGUUAAGUAGAGGCCAAGCCAGUCGGACCGACCGGAAGAUAGGCAGCCGGCUGAAGCGGCGGGGAUGAGUAAACACAGUGCGGGGGGACAUUUAAAUGGAACCAGUUGGAAUCGUGUAAACUGGGACAGACUCCACCCGGGGCCUCCCCGGCACACAAAACCGCACGUCCAAACGAUUGGUCUUAGUCUCUUGACAAGUGCGGUUCACUCCACCGACCCCGACCCCCCAACCCCCACCCCAAGGUUGCGAGAAAGGCUGAGGUAAUCUGAAGAUUGGCUUGGAGGUGGCCCUUAAGGGUCAAAGGGAAGUGUGGCGGGUGGGCAACCAGGACGGAUCCCAGAGAGAAGCUCCGAGCCCAGGACAAAGACGACCCUGGAAGUUGCAACCACGUCCCGCUUCCUCAACAAGAUUGAAGGGGCUCUGCAGGGUCCAGACCCUGUAAGCACACUUCGCCCAGAUUUCCCACACAACUCCGGUGGAUGCCCCCAACGGUCCUCACCACCUCCGAGCGACUCUCAGGCUCUGCGAUUCUUUUUUUUUUU